CGUCAAGUCCUCAUGGCCUUUAUGACUAGGGCUGCACACGUCCUACAAUGGACUGCACAAAGGGAAGCAAACUCGUGAGAGCCAGCUAAUCCCGCAAACCCAGUCGUAGUUCGGAUUGCAGGCUGCAACUCGCCUGCAUGAAGGUGGAGUUGCUAGUAACCGCGCGUCAGCAUAGUGCGGUGAAUACGUUCCCGGGCCUU
rnacentral:rRNA from 1 species